rnacentral:rRNA from 1 species
CCUACGGGAGGCUGCAGUGAGGAAUCUUGCACAAUGGACGAGAGUCUGAACCAGCCAAGUAGCGUGAAGGAUGACUGCCCUUUGGGUUGUAAACUUCUUUUAUAUGGGAAUAAAACAGGGUAUGCAUACCCUAUUGUAUGUACCAUAUGAAUACGGAUCGGGCAACCCCGUGCAAGCAGCGGUGGUAAUCCGGAGGAGCCGAGCGUUAUCCGGAUUUAUUGGGUGUAAAGGGAGCGUAGGUUGAUUGUUAAGUCAGUUGUGAAAGUUGGCGGCGCAACCGUAAAAUUGCAGUUAAAACUGGCAGGCUUGAGUAAAGUAGUGGUAACCGGAAUUCUUGGUGUAGCAGUGAAAUGCUUAGAUAUCACGAAGAACACCGAUUGCGAAGGCAGGUCACUGGACUGCAACUGACACUGAGGCACGAAAGCGUGGGUAUCAAACAGGAUUAGAUACCCUUGUAGUC